CUCAGGAUGAACGCUAGCUACAGGCUUAACACAUGCAAGUCGAGGGAAACGACAUCGAAAGCUUGCUUCCGAUAGGCGUCGACCGGCGCACGGGUGAGUAACGCGUAUCCAACCUGCCCGUCACUUGGGAAUAACCUUGCGAAAGUAAGACUAAUGCCCAAUGACAUUUAUAGAAGGCAUCUGAAAUGAAUUAAAGAUUUAUCGGUGAUGGAUGGGGAUGCGUCUGAUUAGCUUGUUGGCGGGGUAACGGCCCACCAAGGCAACGAUCAGUAGGGGUUCUGAGAGGAAGGUCCCCCACAUUGGAACUGAGACACGGUCCAAACUCCUACGGGAGGCAGCAGUGAGGAAUAUUGGUCAAUGGGCGAGAGCCUGAACCAGCCAAGUAGCGUGCAGGAUGACGGCCCUAUGGGUUGUAAACUGCUUUUAUAAGGGAAUAAAGUGAGCCUCGUGAGGCUUUUUGCAUGUACCUUAUGAAUAAGGACCGGCUAAUUCCGUG
rnacentral:rRNA from 1 species